CGCGAUACAGGGUGACAGCCCCGUACACAAAAAUGCACAUGCUGUGAGCUCGAUGAGUAGGGCGGGACACGUGGUAUCCUGUCUGAAUAUGGGGGGACCAUCCUCCAAGGCUAAAUACUCCUGACUGACCGAUAGUGAACCAGUACCGUGAGGGAAAGGCGAAAAGAACCCCGGCGAGGGGAGUGAAAAAGAACCUGAAACCGUGUACGUACAAGCAGUGGGAGCACGCUUAGGCGUGUGACUGCGUACCUUUUGUAUAAUGGGUCAGCGACUUAUAUUCUGUAGCAAGGUUAACCGAAUAGGGGAGCCGAAGGGAAACCGAGUCUUAACUGGGCGUUAAGUUGCAGGGUAUAGACCCGAAACCCGGUGAUCUAGCCAUGGGCAGGUUGAAGGUUGGGUAACACUAACUGGAGGACCGAACCGACUAAUGUUGAAAAAUUAGCGGAUGACUUGUGGCUGGGGGUGAAAGGCCAAUCAAACCGGGAGAUAGCUGGUUCUCCCCGAAAGCUAUUUAGGUAGCGCCUCGUGAAUUCAUCUCCGGGGGUAGAGCACUGUUUCGGCAAGGGGGUCAUCCCGACUUACCAACCCGAUGCAAACUACGAAUACCGGAGAAUGUUAUCACGGGAGACACACGGCGGGUGCUAACGUCCGUCGUGAAGAGGGAAACAACCCAGACCGCCAGCUAAGGUCCCAAAGUCAU
rnacentral:rRNA from 1 species